rnacentral:lncRNA from 1 species
GUGAGAAGGCUGGUUUCUCUCUGCACCCCUGUUUAUGCACUGGGUGGCCACGGAGCUGCUUGGCUACACAUCUCCUCUUGGUUUGGCCCUCCUUCUAAUCCCCGUGUUGCCUGAUGCCAAUACCUCACUUUGAGCUCAAGCAUUCUUUUACUGGGCUCGAUCCAGGCAUCGUUUGGAGUUGUGGAGCAAAUAAGAUCCCCAUUUUAACCUUCUAUCUCACCAAAUAUCCUGGAUCUUUGGGAACAUAUCAAAAACAUCACACUGGAAUUCAGCAUCCUGACUGCAGAUUUUACAACUCACGCGAGAGGCCCCAAGGAUGGACAUUCAACCGCCUUGGGGGACGGAGGCAAUUGCACCUUAAACAUCUGCGUUCUCCAGAAGAGUCACGCUUGCCUGGCUUCUGUAACAUGCCAGAUGCUGAACUCAUGAUUUAGAUGUGAUGACU